rnacentral:lncRNA from 1 species
CUUCACAAUAACCCAUUUUAAAGAGAAAGGAGUUGAAGCCAAGAGUGACAAGGAUGUGCCAAAGGCUGCUGCUUAUUAAGCCAGCACUGAGUUAAGGACCUGAAGCCAUGCAGACUGGAGGGUUGGUCUAGAAUUCCUUUCUUGAUUCCAUUGCCUCCAUGAUAAAUUAUUCUAGAUUGCUGUUGCUGGGGCUUUUAUGUAUGUCAGAGCUACAGGAGGCAGCCUGUCUCUCCUGGAUGAGCAGCUGGAAAUCCAGCCACGGGGUUUCCUCUAAGGAUGAAGCAGGGUUCUUGGAAAGCAGAAGAGAAGAGCAGCAGGAAACAGUCACUAAAUCAAGCAAACCCUGGAGCCCAGCCUGCAUUCCCUCUUUCAGACACUGCAUCUCUGGUAUCUGUAAUGGGAAGAAGUCAACAAGUUUCUAAAGGGCUUAAAUCCAUUCAGGAUCCUCAACCUCCUAGACUUUGCUGCCAUACUCAACGCAAAUAGAACUCAUGACAUAAGCCUCCUACCUGGCAGGAGGAUGGGGCUUCCACACAUCAAUUCAGGUUCACCAGGCAAAUAAAUUCUCUGCGGAUGGCUGCUAAGAGAUAUGUUAUGCCCAACUGGUAGAAUGGCUCAGAAGGAGGUGAUAACAAGAGCAACAUGACAGUCACAUCAUGUUUCACAAACAUUUCUUUCAGUUAAGUUGGAAUAAAUUUGAAAUACAGUCCCAUGAGUAAUCAU